UCCCAUGUGGUCUAGUGGUUAGGAUUUCUGGCUUUCACCCAGGCGGCCCGUGUUCGAUUCCCGGCAUGGGAA
rnacentral:tRNA from 1 species